GUGCUCGCUUCGGCAGCACAUAUACUAAAAUUGGAACGAUACAGAGAAGAUUAGCACGGCCCUGCGCAAGGAUGACACGCAAAUUCGUGAAGUGUUCCACAUUAAA
ensembl:snRNA U6 U6 spliceosomal RNA